rnacentral:lncRNA from 1 species
ACUAAACCUUCAGCAUCAGGUUUCCCUAGCAACAGAAAGCCUUUUUCUUUCUCCUACUGUCUGUAUCUGAGUUUUUUACAAAAAAAAAAAAAAAAAAAAAGUAAUAAUCUCUCAAAACACUAGAAAGCAUUCAGACUGAGACAUAUGAAGUUAGCAAUGAAAAUUGUGAGUUACAAAUAAAAUAGGGAAUAAUUAAAUUGUAGAGAAGUAUUUUGUUUAUGGAUUUACACAAAGCUCCAGAUGGUGAUUUGCUAUAUUCAUCUCCAGAUUAGCUAAAUAAAGGCCAGGCCUUAUGUCAGCCUGCACAUGGCUUUAAUGACUUUACCUUUAUACUGCAAAAGGUUAAGGCUUUUAGUGCUGUGUUUCAGAAGCCACAUAUAAAGGAAGCUUUAUUGGAUUAGGCUUCUGAGAAACAAAGUGAUACAUGCUAGCAGACAUUAACCGUAAUCAGAAGCCUCCUAGGGUUGCAAGCUUCCUUGGCUAAUGGUUGGGCUUUGUGUCUCACUCCUCUCUUACACCUGGGGAGUCAAGUCUGGAUCCUCUGCUCCAUAUUUAUUUAGCAAAUAAAAUACUGAUCUCAAAUCUCAAACAGAAAGGGAACCUGUGUACUUCAGGUGUUUUUUGAAAACUAAUCAGAAGAGGAAUGCUUAGAUCCCAGGAAAAUUGAAACCAUCUGUAAACAAAUCUUGGCUGUGCUGUGUUUCGAUUAGAUUGAAGCUUGGUGUAAAGAGAAAAUACAAAAGACCUCAGUAAGUUGCUGACUAAAUUAUGUCAUGAAACCAGAACUUUUCAAAAUCAGGUGACUACAUAAAG